rnacentral:rRNA from 1 species
GAUGAACGCUGACAGAAUGCUUAACACAUGCAAGUCAACUUGAACUUCGGUUUGGGUGGCGGACGGGUGAGUAACGCGUAAAGAACUUUCCUCACAGCUAGGGCCAACAUUUGGAAACGAAUGCUAAUACCUGAUAUUAUGAUUAUAUGGCUUCGUAUAAUUAUGACAGCUAUAUGCGCUGUGAGAGAGCUUUGCGUCCCAUUAUCUAGUUGUAAAGGUAACAGCUCACCAAGGCUAUGAUGGGUAGCCGACCUGAGAGGGUAAUCGGCCACAAGGGGACUGGGAGACGGCAGUACUCCUACGGGAGGCAGCAGUGAGAAAUAUUGGAAAAUGGACCGAGAGUCUGAUGCAGCAAUUCUGUGUGAACGAUGAAGUUUUUAGGAAUGAAAAGUGCUUUCAGUUGGGAAGAAAAAAAUGACGGUACCAACAGAAGAAGUGACGGCUAAAUACGUG